rnacentral:lncRNA from 1 species
UUAGAAUCUAGAAAAUCAGGGAAAAGUAUAUAAGAGUUGUAGAAGUUAGUUUAAAGGCCAAACUGUGAUAGUCAUGAGCUGGGGUAAGCUUGGUGCUACUUCUUUCUUUGUUUAUUUCUUGAAUUUUAUUUUCUUUGUAGAAGAAGAGUUAUGGAUAGUUUCUCAAAAAUAUGAAGUAAUAUUCUGGAAUAAAAAGAGAUUUGAUAUUGUGAAAGGAAGAAUUUGAUUUAUUGAAUGUUGAGUUAUAUAAUGGUAAAUUGAAAGAAAAUAAUUAGAAAUAUUUGUGAAGAAUGGAUAUGAAUGGAAGGAUUAUAAUACAUUGAGUAUUAAAAAUUGAGAGUGAUUCAUCAGAAGGAGUUUGUAGAGUCUGAAAUUCUAUAAAGAAGUGUGUUGAGAAAGAUAAUUAGUGGUGAAGGAUUCCACUAUUUGGAUUAUAGAAUGAUUAUGUAUUAUCUUUUAGGAUAGUACGGGAUUACACAUUGUUAUCAAUGAUGGCGGAGUACUAUUAGG